UUGGAAUACAGAUCAGGUUAAAAAAAAAAUACUUUCGUUUUUGUGGGUAAAGAUUGUUUUGAGAUUGUAAUUGUAAUGGAUAAGAAGAAGUUGGCUGUUCCGCUUGUUUGCCAUGGCCAUUCCCGUCCUGUGGUUGAUCUGUUCUACAGUCCAAUUACUCCUGAUGGGUUUUUCCUCAUCAGCGCUAGCAAGGAUUCUAGUCCUAUGCUGAGAAAUGGAGAGACUGGAGAUUGGAUUGGAACAUUUGAGGGGCACAAAGGUGCAGUGUGGAGUUGCUGCUUGGAUACCAAUGCUCUUCGUGCUGCAACUGGUUCUGCGGACUUUUCUGCAAAAGUUUGGGAUGCAUUAACUGGGGAUGUACUACAUUCUUUUGAACAUAAGCACAUUGUUCGAGCCUGUGCCUUCUCUGAGGAUACACACCUUUUACUGACCGGUGGGUUAGAAAAAGUUCUUCGCAUCUAUGAUUUGAAUCGGCCAGAUGCUCCUCCCAGGGAAGUGGAUAAAUCCCCUGGUUCAAUUAGAACUGUUGCCUGGCUCCACAGCGAUCAGACAAUAUUAAGUUCUUGUACUGAUUUGGGGGGUGUCAGAUUAUGGGAUGUAAGGAGUGGAAAAAUAGUUCAAACUCUUGAAACCAAGUCAUCAGUCACUAGUGCUGAAGUGAGUCAAGAUGGUCGGUACAUAACAACUGCUGACGGAUCUACUGUUAAAUUCUGGGAUGCAAAUCAUUUUGGCUUGGUGAAAAGCUACGACAUGCCAUGCACAGUGGAGUCGGCUUCACUGGAACCAAAAUAUGGGAACAAGUUCAUUGCCGGGGGAGAAGAUAUGUGGAUCCGUGUAUUUGAUUUUCACACUGGCAACGAGAUUACAUGCAACAAGGGUCACCAUGGUCCCGUUCAUUGUGUGCGGUUCUCGCCUGGAGGGGAAUCAUAUGCCUCGGGAUCAGAGGACGGAACAAUUAGAAUAUGGCAGACUGGCCCUUUGACCAAUGAAGACACAGAAGUGCAUGGAGCAAACGGAUCAACUGGAAAGGUGAAAGUAAUUGCAGACGAGGUCUCACGCAAGAUCGAAGGUUUCAACAUUGCAGAUGAAGGGAAGUCUGGAGACAAGGAAGAGGCAGGAAACGAGUGAUAUUGGCCAAAGCACAUAAAGAUACAGUCUAGACUAUUCUGUUUCUUCUUUUUGGUACCAAUUUUUAGUUGCUUCUCAUGUCAAGUUUGCCCUAUAAAUUUAGGUGCUUUCUGUUGCUUUUGUUCUGGCAGAAUGUAUAUGCGACGACAACUAUAUAUCGUUCUUGAUCUGAACAGAUGAUAAAUUCUCCUAGAAUAAACAAGACUGAGAUAUGAUGAAGUUUUCAUUGUCAAUGCUCAGUGGCAUUUAUUUCAUGAGCAGUCCUUCAAAUCCUGCCAUGUGGGACUCUGUGAAAUGAAGGGUCCUGCCUUCUAUGAUUCGGGCCUCGGGGUUUCCAGUCCUACAUAAUUUAUCUAGAAAAAAUAAGAAUUUAUUUUUAAGAGUA